GAGAAAGAACUAUGGGCUCCGCCCCUCCAGCCGCGGUCAUCACAGAAUGGCCUGGCACGGUGACCACGGAGUGCCCUGGCACCGGUGCCCGCGGCUGUGACGGAAAAAGGGUGGGAAGAACAGGGAAGAGGAAGCAGAAACAGAGAAAGGUGUCUAAUGGUCUAGUCUACCAACUUCACUAUGCUGAUUUAUGAAAGAAUUGCUGAAACCCAGUGAAUAAUAGCAUUUGCCCUUCUUUCUCAAAAAAGCAGCAUUUGCUUUCUUCUGGCAAGGAAUAAUUAAGCUAAUUUCUCCAUGAACCUUGGAAAAAGUGGCAACGAAUAAUGGAUUUGUCCCUCAAAGAACAUUUCAAGCAAACAUCUUAUCAGCUACAAAUUCAUUUGAGGCAGUUCCAGGUCAGCCACAGGCAAUUUUUCUCAUUAAAAUACUGUUUAAACUGUUGUAUCCAGAUGACACAGGAGACAUAUCAGACAAACAACACCUGCAAGAAGAAUUGGUGAAGUAUUGACUUUUCAUCAAUCAAAAAGUUUACUAAGCAGAUGAAAAUAAUUUGCCUUCACAGUGACAUUUUCCUGACGUCUUGCUAGUACUUAAAGGCAUUGUUUUUUCUUUAACACCCAAACUUUAAUUACCAGAAAAGGUUAGCAUCAAAACAAAGGACAUGUUGGUAAUUUAGA
rnacentral:lncRNA from 1 species